CAACUACAGCCUCCCAUUCAUCUUUUAAAAGGAGAAGGAGAUAGGCCUUCCGUAUAUCAUGCAAAACCAGAGAAGGCAAGUCGUGAAACGACUCCUAGAUCGCUGUCACCUGAUCAUGAACCUAGUGUCUAUAAAGCUCAGCAGCCCCCUGAAGAAAUUAAAGGGGCCCAAAUGAUACAAGAAGACAAAGAUAUCCAAGUGGAAAUGCCUGUUGACCAGGUUCCAGCUGAGGUUGUUCAAGAAGAAGACAUUUAUUCAAAUGUUGGGGAUGUCGAUGAGCAGCCUUCAGAAGAGAACAAAGAAAGUCUCUAUGAGGAAGGAGAAAGACAGGAAGUGGAGGCAGAAGAGGAGCCUGUGCAGAAAGAAGAAGAACCUGUGCAGAAAGAAGAAGAACCUGUGCAGAAAACAGUCAGUGUAAUACUCAGACAUUUCAACAUAUAAAAACUGACACAGCAAAAGCUAAAAUACUGUGUAGAAGAAAUUGGUGCCACACUAUUACUUUAUGACAAGAAUUUAUUCAUAGAUAUUGAUUCAUUAGUUCAAAAGAUGUAAGAGAAUUGUUUUCACUAGCCCCCUAUUGCACAGAAGUUUUGAAGUGGUCUUGACCAACUGUCUCUCCUUUCCGUUCACAGGUUCAUAUAUUAUACUGGGG
rnacentral:lncRNA from 11 species